CAUACAUGCACAAAACUCAUUCUAGUUAUUUUUGGCGCAGUGCAUUUAGAAGCAUUCCGUAAGGGCGUCGCGGCCAUCAUUUUUUCGCUCUCAAAUUCUCUUAUUGAGCAAACUCUGCUUGAGCAGAGCUCAUUAGAAGCGGACUGCUUGAUGGAGACGAACGUUAGCGGACGAAUAAUUUAUACUAUAAGCUUAACGAAACACAAAAGGAUUACAACACAAACACACAAGGAUUAAAAUUAACUCCGCUGCACAUAUUUACAUAUGUAAAAUGCACAUUCCAAAGCGAACGGCUCGCUCACUUGGCGAAAAAAGGGAAUGUUUAAUUUAAAGAAAAUAUCGUAAUAAACUAAAUCGAAGAAAUUCUGUUUAAGAACCAUGCAUUUACUAAUAAUCUUUUUAUUCCCAACUAAUAAUUAAUAAAUUUUCAUGUACAAUACAAUAUUAUUUAUUUACAUCUCAUUACUUUUAACUUAUUUAUUUCUAAUUACUUAUAUAUAUAUUAUUUAGU